AUUGGUAACUUGUGUGGCUAGUUAGGAUGUCCUUAAAAAAGCAUACUCUUAGAUUUAAAGGCUAAAUAUUAUUGGCAUGCGGCAUUUCUUAGAAUAGCCAUAUGAUUGGUUUCUAAGAGUGGAUAAACUUUUUCGAAUAGUCGGUUAUUGGGUGUGAAGCUAUUACAACCAAAGGAUUCUUCAAUUCUCAAUGAUCGGAG
rnacentral:lncRNA from 1 species